CCAAUAGCGUAUAUUAAAGUUGUUGCAGUUAAAGAGCUCGUAGUUGAAUUUCGGGGUUCAUACGUUGGUCGGGCUAUUUGGUCUGUACUUAUGUAAUGGAUUCCUACCUUCUGAAUAACCGGCAUGCCAUUAAUUUGGUGCGCCGGGGAAGCAGGACUGUUACCUUGAAAAAAUUAGAGUGCUUAAAGCAGGCUAUCGCCUGAAUACAUUAGCAUGGAAUAAUGAAAUAGGACGGCAUGGUUCUAUUUUGUUGGUUUCUAGGAUCACCGUAAUGAUUAAUAGGGAUAGUUGGGGGCAUUAGUAUUCAAUUGUAAGAGGUGAAAUUCUUGGAUUUAUUGAAGACUAACUUCUGCGAAAGCAUUUGCCAAGGAUGUUUUCAUUAAUCAAGAACGAAAGUUAGGGGAUCGAAGACGAUCAGAUACCGUCGUAGUCUUAACCAUAAACUAUGCCGACUAGGGAUCGGACGAUGUUAAUUUUUUAAUGACUCGUUCGGCGCCUUACG
rnacentral:rRNA from 1 species